rnacentral:lncRNA from 1 species
CUUUGGCCGGCUCGCCCGUGUUAAAUGUCGCCCUGCCCCAAGUCAAGCGUGGUGAGCCUGCUUCUGCAGUUUUUGCUCUUAUGAAAUCAGUGGAGAUUUGGAAUGCACAAAGAAUUUUGGAUCACAGCAGAUUUGGUUAAAAAACAGAAAUCAACCCAGGGAUCAGAUAUGGGUUAGGAGUCCCUUCCAACCUGAAACCGUGAGUCAGUGGUUGAUAUGAUUAAUAAGUGAUUUCAUACCGUCUCGUAGGACUUUUCAGAAUACCACCAGUUGGCCAAAAUAAUGUAAAUUGCUGUGAUGGAGAGUGAAUGCACCGUUCACAGGUCUUAGGGAUGAUCUGUCUUCUGCUCAUUGGUCUGCUCCGUGGCGUGGGAAUGGAUGUAUCCAGAGUGGAUGAUUCAUUUUCCCAUGAAACCUUUGAAGGAUGUGGCUGGCUUCUGGUGAUCAUAGCAUUGAAGACCGUUGCUGAGAUCCCUUUCACUCAUUAGGAGGAUCUGCAUGGUGAUCUUCUAAAUCUAACAUUCUUCGGUUGUUAGCUGGAAUGCUUCCAUAAAGAGAAACUCUUCUGUAUCAAGUUCUCACUUAUCCUGAGGAGCAAGCUUGUAAUAGAAAAGCAAGAUAAAUGCCGGUUCUUUCCCUUUAUUUACCAGUUUCAAAAUGAGUUGGUUAACUGGCUUCCUCUAAAAGUGACCAAUACUUUUUUAAAUGAAUUUAUGGAUUUAAACACAUUUGAUAUGUUUGAAUCCACUUGUAAUCUUUAUACUGUUUGAUGAUCAAAUUACCCAAUUUUUGGCUAGGGGAGCCUCUUUUAAUUGGC